CCAGACGAGAAAAGAAAAAAAAAAGCUGUGGAUUAUUAUGAUGUUUACAUAGACAUACGAAUUUUCGCUUCGCUCAAUGGAUGUUUACUUCGAAAAUACUGGAAAAGUUCAAAUUCGUAAUGAUAAUAAAAUAAAGGCAAAAGUUAUAGUUAUCCAGUGAAUAAUUGUUGUAGUUAUCCAGUGCGCUUUGGUGUAGCCUUUUUGUGUGGUAGGUAGUCAAGUCGUUAAAGUGCAGUUAUUGAAUUGAAUGAAAUUUGUAAUAAUUAUCGAAUUCUCAUUCAAAGUUUGUAUUUGUACCUACUUAAAAUACGAAUCUCAGACCGCGAUAGUGCCGUGCCUAUAAAUUUUCGUGUUCAUUGUGCAUGUACUUUGUUGGCACAGGACGAAUAAUUACGACGUGGGUAUAUUUUCUUAAAGAUUCCAUGCUUCAUCACACAGGAUGGCAAGUUCGGCACAGCCUAGUUCGUCAACGUGUCGCAAAAACUCAGGACCGGACCACCACAAGCUACAAGCCUGCAAUAAGGCUGGGUCUGAACCACGCGAUAUAAGGUCCGCUGGACUUAGAUCAGUCGGAAUAUGACGCCAGGCAGCCGAAACUUCCAGAAUUUCCGCGACUCGAUUCCUAACAAAAGGCUGUAAUUUAAUUGAAUUGACGAAAUUUCCCGUUGAAAGUGAGCUUCCAACGCGCGGGGGAAUGUUGGAGUUUUUUGAGUUUUACAUGGCAACCCUUUAAGUCAUUGUCAAAUGUCACUUCUCUUUUAAUUUUGCACAUAAUUAUAUAACCUAUUCUUCU